CUUGGCCAGGCCCCCCGCGGCCACGGGCGGCGGGGAGGGCGGCAGGAAUGCCUCUCCGCAGGCCCUGAUUUCUCCGCCCAGCCCAGUUCCAGGAACGCGCGGGCAGCGCCCGGCAGGCAGAGGCCCCGGCUUCGGAUUCGGGGAGGCGCAAGCCAGGGUUCGAGGCCGGGAUGAGCCCCUCCCUCCCGUCCCUCGCCGGGCUGGUCCCCGCCUUGCCCUCGGCCUCAGUUUCCCACCCCGUAGAAUUAGGACGAGGUCGGGCCGGGAACAGUCCUGGCUUCCGCUCGGCCCCAGUCUUGGUCCCAGCAUUUGGGACAACCUGCAUCCCCAGCCUGAGCGCCGCGGGGGUCCUUGCUCGCUCUGGGACCUUCCGCGUCCAGCGCGGCGCCCGCGGUUAGGACGCGCGGUGGGAGUGGAUGCCGGCGAGUGCGAAAGCCCGGCACCCGCACCCGCCUAAGCUGUUUCUCCCUCCUGAUGUUGAACCCAGGCUCUGAGUUCCUGAAUGUGUCUUGUUUGGGCCAAUCUGGAGCCCCCGCCCAGUUAUCUUCCUGCUGCUCUGCUGUCAGGUGGCAAAUCUUGGUUCAAAAACAGUCCUCCUGCUACUGGCCAGCCUUGCCGCUUCACAGUUGGCCUUGAGGAGCCCAAGAGACGAAAAGCAUCCUCUAUAGAGGUCUUACAAUCCAGUAGGACCUGAAUCCAAUGACCAGGUAAGUCCAAUGACCUCUGCACCUUGAGGGGCACUUGACCAUAAGAAACCUUCACCCUGGGAGGGCCUUUCUCAAUGUUUUUCUACACACACUAGUUUUCAUGGACAAGCAGGUUGCUCGCAGUUGGAACUCUGAGCUGGGAUUUCCCACCUUGCUCCUUUCUAAGGUUGUUUUGGAGAUUAAAUGAGGUACAUUCUUAACACAUAUUAGCCAUCACUACCUAGUGUCCACAAUUGCAGGACCCAGAUGGAGUCCCCUUAGCUGCCAGUAACCCCCUAAAUUUGGCUUUUGCAAAUCCCACAAGAGUGAAGAACUAUAUAAUAUGGGUGGGGCUGACCCGACCCAGAAACCCCCAGUUCUCAGCCAGACGAGUUUUUUUCUCUGUACUGGAUGGCUCACUUUUAUUAUAUUCACUGUAACCCUGAGGGUGUGUCCUAUUAUUAUUCCCAUUUUAUAGAGAAGGAAACUGAGGCACAGAGAAGUAAUUGGGCCAAGGUCUUAGAAGCUAGUGAGAGACAUGGUCCAGAUUGCAGACUCAGCUGAGCUGAUUCCAAAGCUUGUGUUAUAACACACUAUCUCCCUGGGGCAUCAGAAAAGUUAUGGGGUGGGGGUGCAGGACAUCUGAGAGGGCCAGGCUCUGAAAGGAUUUUUUGUGGGGGGUUGUGCUUUUCCAGGAGGCAGCGCCUGCUAUAGCAGUCACACCAAGCUUGGCUUCCUCCUUCUUAGUGAAAGCAAGAAGGCAGCCAUCUGCAAGCCAGGAAG